rnacentral:rRNA from 1 species
GACGAACGCUGGCGGCGUGCUUAACACAUGCAAGUCGAACGGUGAAGCGCCUUCCUUUUUGGUGGGUGUGGAUGAGUGGCGAACGGGUGAGUAACACGUGAGUAACCUGCCCCCUUCUUCUGGAUAACCGCAUGAAAGUGUGGCUAAUACGGGAUAUUCUGGGUCUGUCGCAUGAUGGGUCUGGGAAAGAUAUUGUUUCGGUGGGUGAUGGGCUCGCGGCCUAUCAGCUUGUUGGUGGGGUGAUGGCCUACCAAGGCGGUGACGGGUAGCCGGCCUGAGAGGGUGGACGGUCACACUGGGACUGAGACACGGCCCAGACUCCUACGGGAGGCAGCAGUGGGGAAUAUUGCACAAUGGGCGCAAGCCUGAUGCAGCGACGCCGCGUGAGGGAGGGAGGCCUUCGGGUUGUGAACCUCUUUCGCCAGUGAAGCAGGCCUGCCUCGUUUGUGGGUGGGUUGACGGUAGCUGGAUAAGAAGCGCCGGCUAACUACGUG